CUCAGAACGAACGCUGGCGGCAUGCCUACCACAUGCAAGUCGAACGCGUGUACCAUUACACGAGUGGCAGACGGGAGAAUAACGCGUGAGAACCUGCCCUUGAUUGCAGGAUAACCGAGGGAAACUUCGGCUAAUACCGCAUGCGCCCGGAGCAAUCCAGGGAAAGAUUAAGCUCUCGAGGAGGGGCCCGCGUCUGAUUAGCUAGUUGGUGGGGUAACGGCCUACCAAGGCGAUGAUCCGCUAGCUGGUCUGACAAGAUGAUCAGCCACUCUGGGACUGACACACGGCCCACACUCCUACGGGAGGCAACAUUGGG
rnacentral:rRNA from 1 species